AUGCACGCUGGCGGCGUGCCUAAUACCUGCAAGUCGCGCGCACAGACGAGGAGCUUGCUCCUCUGACGUUAGCGGCGGACGGGUGAGUAACACGUGGAUAACCUACCUAUAAGACUGGGAUAACUUCGGGAAACCGGAGCUAAUACCGGAUAAUAUAUUGAACCGCAUGGUUCAAUAGUGAAAGACGGUUUUGCUGUCACUUAUAGAUGGAUCCGCGCCGCAUUAGCUAGUUGGUAAGGUAACGGCUUACCAAGGCAACGAUGCGUAGCCGACCUGAGAGGGUGAUCGGCCACACUGGAACUGAGACACGGUCCAGACUCCUACGGGAGGCGGCAGUAGGGAAUCUUCCGCAAUGGGCGAAAGCUUGACGGAGCAACGCCGCGUGAGUGAUGAAGGUCUUCGGAUCGUAAAACUCUGUUAUUAGGGAAGAACAAAUGUGUAAGUAACUAUGCACGUCUUGACGGUACCUAAUCAGAAAGCCACGGCUAACUACGUG
rnacentral:rRNA from 1 species